rnacentral:misc_RNA from 1 species
AACAACCCUCAAGCCUGGCUUGCUGUUGGAUCUCACGUCGUUAAACCGACGGGUCCUAAAGACAAGGACAGAGUCAGUUGGGCCCUAGAUGCAACGAGCUUUUAUAGCACGCAUUGAAGUAGCCGGCGGCUCUGGUCUUAAAUUAUAUAUUUUAUAACAAGGUUGACCUCGGAUCAGGUAGGAAUACCCGCUGAACUUAA